AAUUUUCAGCUAUGAUGGCAAGUGAAAAGGUUUCCAUGGGCCGAAGCCUGGGCGUUAUUCAGAGCUGAAGGCCAAGCUUGCAGCUUAAAUCACUGAAAUACGCGAUCGGUCCCUGCCAGUGACAUGCGACAUGGUCACGCGACAAGCCUGGAUCUUCGACUGCCUUUUAAGGACCUGCUCCGCCGUGAGUUCGACAAGUGGCUGUCGGCAGAAGGCUGCAAACUAAUGCCAACCAGGCUUGUGAAAAGAGCCUCCCUGAUGGCUGUGUGCAGUUCGAUGCUUUUGGCAUGGAUGGCUGUUCCAUGCGAUGUCGUGGCACGGUCGUUUGCGAAGUGUGGGAUUUCGCUGCAUGACAAUGUGCUGUGGGACUGCAGCGGUGAUGAUGAUGGCAGCACUAGUGAGAACGAUGGCAC
rnacentral:lncRNA from 1 species